ACCAGGUCUGGAUGUUUUAGAGGACUUGAGGAGACCAGGUCUGGAUGUUUCAGAGGACUUGAGGAGACCAGGUCUGGAUGUUUUAGAGGACUUGAGGAGACCAGGUCUGGAUGUUUUAGAGGACUUGAGGAGACCAGGUCUGGAUGUUUCAGAGGACUUGAGGAGACCAGGUCUGGAUGUUUUAGAGGACUUGAGGAGACCAGGUCUGGAUGUUUUAGAGGACUUGAGGAGACCAGGUGUGGAAAUAUAAACUUUUUUAACACAAUUUUUUCUUACAUAAAACCUCAUUGUGCUUUUCCCAUGUUUGAUGCAGGUUCAGUGAUGACAGCAUUCUGUCCUUUAUCAGUCGGAGAUCCUGACUCACGUUACCUGAAAGUCAUCCAUUAGCGUCUGAUGUUAGGCACAGGAAGGACCACAAACUUCAAACUGAGUACCUUUUAGUAGUCUGUAGUAAAGGGUUGAAAAUGAAAACCUGGCAGAGCGGUGACUCAUGAAAUAAAUAAAACUGCAGCUCUCCUUCUGAUGAUCCACCUAACAGCAUCUACAUGAGCAGAGUCAAACACUGAGCUGUAAAAACACUGAUGUGCAUCCGGCCGCCUCUGCCACGAUAGUGUUUAGUAAAGUGUCAUGCAGCCCGAGUGCUGGCUGUUAACUGCUUUCUAGGUCAAAGCGUGGAUCAGUAGGAAGCAUCUCGUGCAGAACUGUGGACCCGAGUUCCCUGAUAAUGUAGGGUUUUCAGCUUCCUCACCUCGCCACCAAGAGCAGAUUUAAAAUAAAUCAAUUCAGAGAAGUACUUAGCACCUUGAAGCAUAAAGGGCAGAA